UCAACCACCUCUUAUGUGUCUUGGAGUUUGAGGGAGGUGCAGUAGAGGAGAAGGCCUGAGUGACCCUUCAAACCCUAAUGCUAAUUAAGAAAAACAUAAUAAUCAUCGGGUUCCAUGACGGGAUCAUAGCCCUUAUUGAAAUCUAUGGCACAAGAAUGCCUUCGGUCAAGCCAUCAUCACUAUAGUGCUUAAGAACCUCGUAAUAGUUCAAGAAAUCCGAUAAAACUUUCUAGAAAAUAAUGGUGUCCUUGUCUAACGAGAAUUCGUUGUAGUCGACUAGCAAAAUUUAAUUUGAGUAAAAUAAAAAUAAAAAAAAAUAAAAAUCAUCAUUUUGCCUAUCGAUUUAGUGUUAAUAUCAUGUGCAACUUUUUCUAUCAGUAUAAUAAAUGAUGUUAACAAAUUAAAAUAAAUUAUUUUACUUUCAUAAAUCCCCGUCUAAAUUUCUGAAGUACAUAUACCGCAGUACUAAAAAGGUCAAUGAUCCCACCCCAUGUCAUAAUUACGAAUCCCCUCUCCAUCUCAGACUAUAAAAAUGUAAGCAAUUCCCGCGAUCGAGCGCUUCUCCUCUUCAGCCAUUUUUAGCGUUCUGGACUUCCCCUAGGGUUUCCUUCUUCCACCCUCCUCUUCAGAAGGGUGAUCUAGAUCCAGGAGCACUUCGAGAAUAUUUAUCUGGGUGUUUUUGAGGAGCUAAGCAAGUUCGGAAAAAUUGAAAGCCUAAAUGUUUGUGACAAUCUGGCUGAUCAAUUUGGUAUUCGACAUCCAAGAUGUUGGUAAUGUAUAUGUUAAAUUCAGGGAUGAGGAUGAUGCUGCAAAUAUACUAGUCAACCUGAAAGGAAGAUAUUAUGAUGGUGGUUUAAUAUUUAUGUGUUUGAUCUCAUGCUUAAUGCAUUUUGUCUCUUGUUUGUUAGUCUAUUACUUGUAUAUCAUAUAAUCUUUUUCCCUUUUUCACAAAUGGGGAUUCUAUUUGCCGGACAUCCUAUUAUUGUUUAUUUCUCCCCCGUUAAUGGAUUUCCGUGAAGCUACAUGUAGGCAACACAAGGAUAAUAUGCGUGUAACCAAGGUGGAUUCUGCAAUUUUAUUCACUUCAAACAAAUUAGCUGGGAGUUGAGUGUUAAGAUCCUAGGGUUUUAUCAUGGAAGAAAGAGGAGAAAAGAGGAUGAUCACUACGAGGGGAUCAGUCUCCUUGACUACUUCAAGGGGAUCAGCUUCAUAGGGUUUGUCAAAAAACUUAAUAAUAUUUCAUUAUCCGUCGAAAAGAAACGAUUACAUUACUAUUUAUAGAGUUCCACCUAGAGUUAACCAGGACUUGGACUCUUAAUAAUAAAUAAAUAUUAAAUAAACUUUUAUCUGACUCUAAUUGAACUAAAUAGACUUUAUAAACAUUAUUCAAAAGUUUAGAAAAUAAAAUAAUCAUAACAAUUUCUCUCAUUUCAAAUCAGCCUUGUUCUCAGAGCAACAUCAAGCUCAGGGAGUUUCUCUUUCAGCACUUCAGCCACAGGGUAUCUGUGGCGCAUCAUAACCCGUUGAUCAAGUACGAUCUCUAUUUCUUGAUAGUAUAAGCAAUAGGUCGGUCUUUCGGUGUUGUAGUCUUCUGAAAACCCUCUCCAUUCGAUGGCUAGUGACAGUUAUGACCUUACUUCCACGUCUUCCCUUUAGGAUCACCUGUUUUCCAUUAAUAAAAAAUUUCAUAAUUAGUUUAGAAAAAUUUUACGAAACAUCACAUAUGGUUAAUAGUCAUUCAAUUCAAAGCACCACUUCGAAGUCUUUUAAGGUUAGCAAAAAGAAGUCAACAAGCAACUCUUGGCCUUGCAAAGUUAGCUUAAUCUUUGAGCACUUGUUGUUAAAAUCUGUCCAUCGGCGACCUUUACUUCAAAUUUGUUACAAUCUUCGAUGUGAUAGGCCAAUCGAUCGACAACAUUACUGUUCGUAAAAUUGUUAGUGCUACUAGUAUCAAUCAAAACUAUAACAUAUUGAUGUUACAAAGUUCCUCCAACUUUCAUAGUUUGCAAGUUAGAGUAGUUGGCUAAUGCAUGCACUGUAUGUAUGAUAGGUCCAACAUCGUCAUCAGAAUCCAUACCUUCAUGUUCAGAGUCUACAUUGUUAGCUUCCGGUUCCGCCUCAAUUGGUUCAAUUAUAAGAAAUUGCUCUUGUUUACAUCAGUGCUCCCUACUCUACUUUUCAUCAUAGUGCCAGCACAAACCUUUCGCUAAUCUUUCCUUGAGUUCUUCUUGAGUUAGUCUUUGAGUAUUAGGGUUCUGGCUAGGAAUAGAUGGGGCGGGUGGCUUGCUGAUCAUCUGUUUGUUGUCACUUCUAUUCUGACGAUUUUUCAUACUUAUUUUUUCCUUAUAUAAACGUGCAAAUGAUAUCGCAGUGAUCAUUAUGCGGGGUUGACGAGCUUUGACUUCACAUCGAAUAUCUGGAUUAAGUCCUUCGAUAAAUGUGCCCACCAAUUAUCGUUUAGACCAAUCUUUGGCUUGAUUUGAUAAUCUUUCAAACCUGCUCUGAUAUUCCAAUACUGUAGAAGUUUAACGAAUUUUGACGAGCUGUCCAUCAACAUUCUCAUAUUCAGAUGGGCCAAAACGAACAAGAAGCUCUCUCUUGAACUGCUCCUACGAAGGAACUCCGUGGCAAGUUUCAUACCAAUCAUACCACUGGAUUGCAUCUCCGUCUAGUUGGAUUGAGGCUAUUUCUAUCUUGGAUUCUUCUGGGGUCCUGUGAAAGCGAAAUUUUUUUUUCUGCCUUAGAGAUCCAACUGGUCGAAAACCCAUCUUCCCAUCUCGGAAAUUCUACCUUAAUGCAUGGGUAGUUUGUCUCAUAAUCUUAGGGCCCUUUUCUUGUAUCUCCAGAUCUGUUCAACGUAGAACUUGAGCCUCCAUUUUAUUGAAAUUUGUUGAGGCUUUCCAGUAAGCUCUUUUUGAAAUCAUUAAGUAUUUUUUGCAACCGGUUUUCAAUUCUGAUUUCCAAUGCUUCCAUUUGUGCUUUCACUGAGUUAUCGUUAGUCAUUGCGUAAGACUACAAAUCUGUAAUCCCCAAUUCUUGUUUUUGGUGUCUGGUCAAGGGCAUCAAUACUGCGAUGAUCGGUGGCUGCGACGGUUGUGGCGGAACGAGAGGGGGUGGUUGAGUGGCCGAAGAUGCAAAGGAUGGUGGACUUAGUGGGCUGCGGCUGUGAUUGGUGGGUUGCGACUGGGAUUGCCCUGCUUCACUUUUUCUUUAUUUCCUACUGCGAUGGCAAUCAACGACUGUUGUGGUUGUUGGUGGAGAAGAGAAGGGGGGGGGGGGGGGUGGGUGCUGGCCGGGAAGCAGCGAUAGUGGUGGUCGUUAGCCGGAAGAAGAGGAAGCGGUUGUGGCACGGUUGGGAACAAUACUCUGUUUUUGUCACUACGAGAAGGGAAGGUUGUUGCCAGGGUUGAGAGGCAACAGUGGCGGUGCGGUUGAGAGCAAGAUCGCCGAGGGCGAGGAGUAGCAAAGGGUCGUCGAGGCUAGGCGCUGCUAGGGUGUCACAGACUUAACUGGUUUUUCCUAAGUCGUGUGGCACCCUUGCGUGUCCGUCCGUAAAGGUCAGCCUCCCCGAAGCCUCCCAUGAUCCCUUAGGACCUACAAAAGAGAAAACGGGUUAGAGAAAAUGCCUCACUCGGGAUCCACAAGCAAACAUUUCCGAAAACACUUCAUAGACAAUGCAAAUUACAAACCGACUUUACAAACUCUGAACAAUUGCACAACAAAGGGUCAAAAUGGUCCAUACAGAUAAACAAUCUACUCACAAGUGUCCACAUGACACAACCUUUAUUUACAAGCCUAAAGCGACCACCAAAUCUAACUAAAAUGGGACUAUUAAGCCUUCGAUCGUCCCUUUACAUGCUGUGCAAAGCAUGAACAUACCAAAAGACAUGGACAUACAUAAGCAUUACAUCAGACAUCCUAUUUAGAAGUUUGUCCGUGACAUUCUCCCCCACUUAUUCCUUCGACGUCCUCGUCGAAGCCUUUGCUGACACUGCAACUCCUCGCCUUUGCUGAGUCUUUAAUCUUCUACUCCAGCUGCAAUGUGUCUCUUGGCUCCCAACUGCUCUCCACUACUGUUUUUGAGUAAUCGAACCUUUGAUCCGCCAUGCUGCUUCAACUCGCCAAUGACUCUGACUCUAGUGUGGGGUUGGCUGAGUUGUGUUGAUCCCUGUUGGCUCCUAUAGAUCCUCCAGAUGAAGGAAAAGACCAUCCUUACUAUGCGUCAAUCUCUCAAAUGCCUCAUGCUGCUUGAACUAGGUGGAUGUUUGUUGGAACUUUAAUGAGCAUCGCCUCGCAAACUUCUGAAGCUUUAACAAGCGAGUUGCUCGUGGGCACACCAUCUGCAGGCGAGUCAUCGGGGGGCAGA